rnacentral:rRNA from 1 species
CCUACGGGUGGCAGCAGUGGGGAAUAUUGGGCAAUGGGCGCAAGCCUGACCCAGCAACGCCGCGUGCAGGAAGAAGGCUUUCGGGUUGUAAACUUCUUUUCUGAGGGACGAAGAAAGUGACGGUACCUCAGGAAUAAGCCACGGCUAACUACGUUCCAGCAGCCGCGGUAAUACGUUGGUGGCAAGCGUUAUCCCGAGUUAUUGGGUGUAAAGGGCGUGUAGGCGGGAAAGUAAGUCAGAUGUGAAAACUCAGGGCUCAACCCCGAGCCUGCAUUUGAAACUGUUUUUCUUGAGUGCUGGAGAGGAAAGCGGAAUUCCGUGUGUAGCGGUGAAAUGCGUAGAUAUACGGAGGAACACCAGUGGCGAAGGCGGAUUGCUGGACAGUAACUGACGCUGAGGCGCGAAAGCGUGGGGAGCAAACAGGAUUAGAUACCCGGGUAGUC